UACGUAGGGUGCAAGCGUUGUCCGGAAUUAUUGGGCGUAAAGAGCUCGUAGGCGGCUUGUCGCGUCGACUGUGAAAUCCCGCGGCUCAACUGCGGGUCUGCAGUCGAUACGGGCAGGCUAGAGUUCGGUAGGGGAGACUGGAAUUCCUGGUGUAGCGGUGAAAUGCGCAGAUAUCAGGAGGAACACCGGUGGCGAAGGCGGGUCUCUGGGCCGUAACUGACGCUGAGGAGCGAAAGCGUGGGGAGCAAACAGG
rnacentral:rRNA from 1 species